GUUGUAUGGUUAAGUGACUAAGCGUACACGGUGGAUGCCUGGGCAGUCAGAGGCGAUGAAGGACGUACUAACUUGCGAUAAGCGCAGAUAAGGCAGUAAGAGCCGUUUGAGUCUGCGAUUUCCGAAUGGGGAAACCCAACUGCAUAAGCAGUUACUGUUAACUGAAUACAUAGGUUAACAGAGCAAACCGGGGGAACUGAAACAUCUAAGUACCCCGAGGAGAAGAAAUCAACCGAGAUUCCGGUAGUAGCGGCGAGCGAACCUGGAUUAGCCCUUAAGCACUCGGUGAAGUAGGUGAACAAGCUGGAAAGCUUGGCGAUACAGGGUGAUAGCCCCGUAACCGACGCUUCAUCG
rnacentral:rRNA from 1 species